rnacentral:lncRNA from 1 species
CUGAUAAUGAACUUGGUGGAGCAGUCAAAAAGCCAAAUCAUUAUUUAUAAUUAAAAUAAUUUCUUUUCUGAAAAUGGCGCACAAUAUAUAAUUUAAGCAAAAUUACCUCCGCACUUGAUGGAAGACCUUGACAUACAUCAACUUAAUUAGUUUUUAAUCUUAGCUUUUCUGCAUAUUUUAUCUGUAGUGCUUGAAGACUUGACCGCAACUAUCAGAUAAUUAUUUUGUUUAACCUCAAA